CACACACACACACACACACACACACACACACAGCUCCCAGGCACUCACGAAGGGCAAUGGUUUCUGUACAUGCAGUAGGUGAUGUGCCUGGAGCAGGUGUUGCUCACAGCUAAGGAGCCCAGCAGAAUUUUGUGUGGCUCGGGGCUUGGAUUUCAGCCUUCAUAUCUUCUCCAGAUUUGUGUUCAGUCUGCACCUUCUACAUGACAUGGUGGAGUAUGCAUUACAUAAAGCCCCCAGGUUAGAGACAGGACCCCUAGGGCCAGGAGGGGGUAAGUACAGCGCUGACCAGGACUGGAGGCCACAUCACCCUUGCCCCAACACUCGUGAAUUUGACGUGGUCAUCCCACCUGCCAGCAGAGCGUGAACGGGGCCUCCCCACAAGGAAGCCUGGAAGUCCCUGUGAGUCCAUAAGGGCUGCAUGGCUCCUGACUUCAACCAGUCAGCCUCUCGUCCAGAAGGGGAGGCCCGGGGCGGGGGGCAUGCUGCUUGCCUGCCCAGUGGGCUUACUCUGUGGGCUCUCGCUUUCUCCUGAAAGUGCAGCAAAAUGUUACAGUAAUCGAGAUAAGGCAGAUUUAUUAACCAGUCUUUCCCAGCACAAUCUCAGGUCACCCAAGAUGCAGUUUCAGAUGGAGGUUUACAACAGUGAGCCUGGGUGGAGAGUACGACUCCUUCUGGCCAUCCCGUGACACCCUGUGUUAGCGUUUGUCCCCCUUUCCCCUGCUGCUUCUGGAGUACCUAGGAGCCACACUGCUGUCCCAGAUCGAGACUCCAGGACAGGACCUGGCACAAAGCCCUGAGUCUGACCUCACAGGAGAGAUCGGACAGGCAAGGGGGCACACUUGGGCAGCAAAGGGAGACCCCACCCUUCCCUGGCUGCAGGGCUGAGUAUUUGGGGUGUGAGUGGAGGAAUGCCAGGCAGGUUCAGUCCUUCGGUCUAGGCGUGUGGGGCCCUCCAGGUGCCUGCUCUUUGUGGCAGGCUGUUACAGCAGGGCUGUGGAUUUGUCCCGGCUCUAUAGAAAAGGGACCCACAGGGUCCCCCAGGCAGCUGCCCUACCCUGGGAGUGCAGCUUGGGCAGGCCACAGACCAGCAGCUUCCCUGGGCUCUUCUGCCCCAGAAGCAACAGCGGGUUUGGUGCAGACCAGCACCAGGUGCCACACGGGGCGAUCACACCACGGGAUUCCUGGCUUUGCCUCUUUAGUGGGUGCCUUGUGAUCUCUGAGUCAUGGUGAGGAGGAUUCCAGGGACAGACGGCCAGGGACGUUCCCAUGUGGAGGAGACUCCACUGGCAGAGAAGCAGCGUCAAGCUGGACAUUGGGGUGCGCUGGCUGGCCAGGACAGCGCUUGUCCCCCUGUCCACACAUGGAACACUGGACUUCCCUCUGCGGCCCAGCCAGCGGUCUCAUCUUGCAGCCGCAGCUUUCAGCAGGAAGGAGCUCGCUGGUGCCUGCCUGACCUACCAGGGCCCACACCGUUUUGCCCUCCUAACAUUUUGUAUUUUAAGUGCUUAUCACAGUCCACAAAAUAACCACUCAGAAUCUGUUACUAUUUUGUUUAUACAUUGUAUCAAGUGAAUGUUAACAAGUCAUCUAAGUGUAUGCUUUAGUUAUAAAUCUUGGAAAAAUAAAAACUUCCUUUUGGAGGAAAAGUUAACUCACUUUGGUAUGAAAAUCACACAACUCCAGGUUGGAUUUUUUUGUGCUUUAAUGUUCGCAGUCACACAAAAGUGGUAUCUCCAUCAGCACUGGGGCGGCCACCUCCUCCUCAUCAGCCCGACAGCUGCACGGUCCCGCCUCUCACCCAUUUGGUCUGUUUGCAAGUUACUAGAUCAUACAAAAAUAACCGCUACAAAUUCUCUGUAUCUGGCAUAUAAAAACUGAGCAAAAAGUAUCUCUUAAAGCAAAACAUCUCAGAAAAAAUACAACACAGGUUUAACUUCUGCAGUACUUUGUUCAUAUAAAACACUAGUAAAAUAGGCUUCUUAAAAAUUAAAUAGUGAAAUACCAACCAAAUUAUAUACAUUGUUACAGUACAAGUGAAUGAGGCAAAAUAUCCAGUUCUUAGUUUCCCAGGUGGAGGGGGGGCUGUCAGUGCGUGGCACGGAGGGGUGACAGGAAGGCCAUGUUCUGAUGUCACAGUCAGUGCAGAAACAGGCUUGCAGCGGGACAAACAGAUGGAAAGAACUGAGUCACGCAGGGAAGACCAGUGGCUCCUUUGAGGAAGAGUGAGGUCAUGUUUUUAUUGCUUGCUAAUCCGAGGUUUUCCCCUGGCCUGAUGCCCCUAUAGGUAGCCUGGAUCCCAAACGCUGCAGCCCAUGUAGAGCUAAUCCAUGUCACCAAGCAGCCCUGGGGAAGCCACAGCUGCUCCAGAGAAGACAGAACGAGGCUUCAGAGCCCUCAACAUCUGAGCUGGAUUGAUCCUGGUCUUUCAGGUCCAUCAGGGUCCCACAUGGUCCAGCUGACACACGUUUCCCCGCUGACGGCCACGUUCACCUGAGAGCCUGAGGGUGGGCAGUGUGGGCUCCCGGCACUGGGGUGAUACCACUGUGGCCUGGGCGGUGGCACUCAGACCCAGCCGACCCCGUCAGUGACCACAGCUCUUCACCCGCUUCUCUGCUGCCGCCAGGACUGAGGGGUCUAUGUGCGGCGCCGCUUGGCAGCGCUGGGACUGGAGGGGUUGCUGUUCGCGGUCAGGACUUUGUCGGUGACCCGGCUGCGCUUCCGCUUGUCUGCGCCUUCUUUGCACCCCAAGUCUGAGGAGUUCUUCUC